UACGUAGGGGGCCAGCGUUGUCCGGAAUCAUUGGGCGUAAAGCGCGCGUAGGCGGUCAGGUAAGUCCGGUGUGAAAGUCAAAGGCUCAACCUUUGAAUGCCGCUGGAUACUGCCUGACUUGAGUCCGGAAGGGGGCGAGUGGAAUUCCUGGUGUAGCGGUGAAAUGCGCAGAUAUCAGGAGGAACACCAAUGGCGAAGGCAGCUCGCUGGAACGGUACUGACGCUGAGGCGCGAAAGCUAGGGGAGCAAACGGGG
rnacentral:rRNA from 1 species